AGAGUUUGAUCCUGGCUCAGAGUGAACGCUGGCGGCAGGCCUAAUACAUGCAAGUCGAACGGCAGCACAGCAGAGCUUGCUCUGUGGGUGGCGAGUGGCGGACGGGUGAGGAAUACGUGGGAAUCUGCCCAGUCGUGGGGGAUAACGUAGGGAAACUUACGCUAAUACCGUAUGCGCCCUUCGGGGGAAAGCCGGGGACCUUCGGGCCUGGCGCGAUUGGAUGAGCCCACGUCGGAUUAGCUAGUUGGCGGGUAAAGGCCCACCAAGGCGACGAUCCGUAGCUGGUCUGAGAGGAUGAUCAGCCACACUGGAACUGAGACACGGUCCAGACUCCUACGGGAGGCAGCAGUAGGGAAUAUUGGACAAUGGGCGCAAGCCUGAUCCAGCCAUGCCGCGUGAGUGAAGAAGGCCCUCGGGUUGUAAAGCUCUUUUGUCCGGAAAGAAAAGCGCCGGGUUAAUACCCUGGUGUCCUGACGGUACCGGAAGAAUAAGCACCGGCUAACUUCGUG
rnacentral:rRNA from 1 species